GAAAUGCGAUAGGUAGUGUGAAUUGCAGAAUUCAGUGAAUCAUCGAAUCUUUGAACGCACAUUGCGCCCUUUGGUAUUCCAAAGGGCAUGCCUGUUCGAGCGUCAUUUGUACCCUCAAGCUUUGCUUGGUGUUGGGCGUCUUGUCUCUAGCUUUGCUGGAGACUCGCCUUAAAGUAAUUGGCAGCCGGCCUACUGGUUUCGGAGCGCAGCACAAGUCGCACUCUCUAUCAGCAAAGGUCUAGAAUCCAUUAAGCCUUUUUUCAACUUUUGACCUCGGAUCAGGUAGGGAUACCCGCUGAACUUAAGC
rnacentral:misc_RNA from 1 species